rnacentral:rRNA from 1 species
GACGUAGGGCGCGAGCGUUGUCCGGAUUUAUUGGGCGUAAAGAGCUCGUAGGCGGCUUGUCGCGUCGUUCGUGAAAACCCGGGGCUCAACUCCGGGCUUGCGGGCGAUACGGGCAGGCUAGAGUUCGGUAGGGGAGACUGGAAUUCCUGGUGUAGCGGUGAAAUGCGCAGAUAUCAGGAGGAACACCGGUGGCGAAGGCGGGUCUCUGGGCCGUAACUGACGCUGAGGAGCGAAAGCGUGGGGAGCAAACAGG